rnacentral:tRNA from 1 species
UCCGCGAUAGCUCAGUUGGUAGAGCAAAUGACUGUUAAUCAUUGGGUCCCUGGUUCGAAUCCAGGUCGUGGAG